rnacentral:misc_RNA from 1 species
GAUGAAGAACGCAGCGAAAUGCGAUAAGUAGUGUGAAUUGCAGAAUUCAGUGAAUCAUCGAAUCUUUGAACGCACAUUGCGCCCUUUGGUAUUCCAAAGGGCAUGCCUGUUCGAGCGUCAUUUGUACCCUCAAGCUUUGCUUGGUGUUGGGCGUCUUGUCUCUAGCUUUGCUGGAGACUCGCCUUAAAGUAAUUGGCAGCCGGCCUACUGGUUUCGGAGCGCAGCACAAGUCGCACUCUCUAUCAGCAAAGGUCUAGCAUCCAUUAAGCCUUUUUUUAAACUUUUGACCUCGGAUCAGGUAGGGAUACCCGCUGAACUUAAGCAUAUCAAUAAGCGGAGGA